rnacentral:rRNA from 1 species
UACGUAGGAUGCGAGCGUUGUCCGGAUUUAUUGGGCGUAAAGCGAACGUAGGUGGUUUCUUAAGUUUGGUCUUAAAGACUGGGGCUCAACCCCAGAGUGGACUGAAUACUGGGAGACUCGAGGAUGUUAGAGGAAAGUGGAAUUCCAAGUGUAGCGGUGAAAUGCGUAGAUAUUUGGAGGAACACCAGUGGCGAAAGCGACUUUCUGGGACAUUCCUGACACUGAGGUUCGAAAGCUCGGGGAGCAAACAGG